GAUGAACGCUGGCUACAGGCUUAACACAUGCAAGUCGAGGGGAAACGACGGGGAAGCUUGCUUCCCCGGGCGUCGACCGGCGCACGGGUGAGUAACGCGUAUCCAACCUGCCUCUGACUGAGGGAUAACCCGUCGAAAGUCGGCCUAAUACCUCAUGGCAUCGUCUGCGGGCAUCCAACGACGAUUAAAGAUUUCAUCGGUCAGAGAUGGGGAUGCGUCUGAUUAGCUUGUUGGCGGGGUAACGGCCCACCAAGGCGACGAUCAGUAGGGGUUCUGAGAGGAAGGUCCCCCACAUUGGAACUGAGACACGGUCCAAACUCCUACGGGAGGCAGCAGUGAGGAAUAUUGGUCAAUGGGCGACAGCCUGAACCAGCCAAGUAGCGUGCAGGAUGACGGCCCUAUGGGUUGUAAACUGCUUUUAUGCGGGGAUAAAGUGAGGGACGUGUCCUUCAUUGCAGGUACCGCAUGAAUAAGGACCGGCUAAUUCCGUG
rnacentral:rRNA from 1 species